rnacentral:rRNA from 1 species
UACGUAGGAGGCAAGCGUUGUCCGGAUUUACUGGGCGUAAAGCGCACGCAGGCGGUCUUGUCGGUCUGUAGGGACAGGGCACAGCUCAACUGUGUCAGGCUUACGGAAACUGCAAGACUUGAGGGCUUCAGAGGGAUGGGGAAUUCCGGGUGGAGUGGUGAAAUGCGUAGAGAUCCGGAAGAACACCAAAGGCGAAGGCACCAUCCUGGGGAGUCACUGACGCUCGGGUGCGAAAGCUAGGGGAGCGAACGGG